AAGCGAAACCGGGGGCAAUCCCCGGUCGCCGGGCGGCGGCGCGUCCGGCCUGAUGAGCAGCCAAAA
rnacentral:hammerhead_ribozyme from 1 species